rnacentral:lncRNA from 1 species
AGAAGUCAGCCAUAAUAACAAAAGAGUCUUCGAGGAUGCUGAGAUGUUUUCUCACUGAAACAUGGAUUAGCGGACUUCAGGCAGCAGAUGGUACACAAACUAUUGCACUCAGAUUUCCAUCUCCAGGAGGUGUGUGUGAACUGGGGAACCUGCACUUCCAGAGGAGGUAUGAAUUACCCACCUCUGCAAGAGCAAGUGUGUGCCUGCAACCCUAAGAAUGUGUAAAUGUGAACUGAGAUUGACCAACGGUUCUAAAUCCUGUGUGUUAGAACUUCUUGUUAUGAGUUAAGGGAUGUUUAAAAAUUGUUAGAUUUAAAAAUCUGUAAUAGCUUACUAACAUUCUGUAAAUGCCUUUUAUUGUUAUUGUCUUUUUUCUGUUGCGUUG